AUGCGCCGCGCCGUCUCCCUUGGCGCGGGAACGCCACCGUCCACGCCGGUCUUCUUCAUGCUGUCAGGGUUCUUCGCCUACGUCGAGCACCGCCGCCGCACUCCUAACCUAGCCGCCGCCGCCGCCUUCAGGCCGCCGCUGCCGCUCUUCUUUGGCCGCCGCCGCCGCUACCUUUGUAGCCGCCGCCGCCGCCCGUCCACCCCCUUCGUCUUCGUCCAGCACCAGUUCGUCGCCAGCGUCGCCGUCAUCUACCCCGACCGCUUCAUCUACUCCGACAACCGCGGGCGACAUUGGCCCUGCGCCGAUUGGCACCGCAACCGUCGUCGAGUCCUUCUCUGCUGGCCUCUCCGCCUUCUCCGACAUGGUGUACAGCUCGUGCAGGUCCCUCGUCUACGCAUGCCCGGUGCUGGCAACACCGCCGCGUGCCUUCGUCCACGACGUGUCCCCGGGCCUGGCAAGCCUGGCGCGGCGCUUCGUCAACUUCGUAUUCGUCUAUCUACGCAUGCCCGGUGCUGGCAACACCGGUGCGUGCCUUCAUCCACGAUGUGUCCCCGGGCUUGGCACACCCGCCGCGACGCGUCGUCAACACCAUCUACUUCCUGGCGCAUCACUACUUCGACACCACUGCGCCCAUGCUAA
rnacentral:rRNA from 1 species